GUUAGCUGCAGAAGAAGCACCGGCUAACUCCGUGCCAGCAGCCGCGGUAAUACGGAGGGUGCGAGCGUUAAUCGGAAUUACUGGGCGUAAAGCGCAUGCAGGUGGUUUGUUAAGUCAGAUCGUGAAANCCCCGGGGCUCAACCUCGGAAUUGCAUUUGAAACUGGCAAACUAGAGUACUGGUAGAGGGGGUAGAAUUUCAGGUGUAGCGGUGAAAUGCGUAGAGAUCUGAAGGAAUACCGGUGGCGAAGGCGGCCCCCCUGGACAGAUACUGACACUCAGAUGCGAAAGCGUGGGGGAGCAAACCAGGAUUAGAUACCCCUCGGUAG
rnacentral:rRNA from 1 species